rnacentral:rRNA from 1 species
CAGCAGCCGCGGGAAUACAGAGGGUGCAAGCGUUAAUCGGAAUUACUGGGCGUAAAGCGCGCGUAGGUGGUUUGUUAAGUUGGAUGUGAAAUCCCCGGGCUCAACCUGGGAAUGGCAGUGGAUACUGGCAAGCUAGAGUGUGUCAGAGGAUGGUGGAAUUCCCGGUGUAGCGGUGAAAUGCGUAGAGAUCGGGAGGAACAUCAGUGGCGAAGGCGGCCAUCUGGGACAACACUGACGCUGAGGCACGAAAGCGUGGGGAGCAAACAGGAUUAGAUACCCCCGUAGUCCCUGUCUCUUAUAA